GACGAACGCUGGCGGCGUGCUUAACACAUGCAAGUCGAACGGAAAGGCCCUGCUUUUGUGGGGUGCUCGAGUGGCGAACGGGUGAGUAACACGUGAGUAACCUGCCCUUGACUUUGGGAUAACUUCAGGAAACUGGGGCUAAUACCGGAUAGGAGCUCCGGCUGCAUGGUGGGGGUUGGAAAGUUUCGGCGGUUGGGGAUGGACUCGCGGCUUAUCAGCUUGUUGGUGGGGUAGUGGCUUACCAAGGCUUCGACGGGUAGCCGGCCUGAGAGGGUGACCGGCCACAUUGGGACUGAGAUACGGCCCAGACUCCUACGGGAGGCAGCAGUGGGGAAUAUUGCACAAUGGGCGGAAGCCUGAUGCAGCAACGCCGCGUGCGGGAUGACGGCCUUCGGGUUGUAAACCGCUUUCGCCUGUGACGAAGCGUGAGUGACGGUAAUGGGUAAAGAAGCACCGGCUAACUACGUG
rnacentral:rRNA from 1 species